rnacentral:rRNA from 1 species
UACGUAGGCAGCGAGCGUUGUUCGGAAUUACUGGGCGUAAAGAGUGUGUAGGCGGUGCUCUAAGUUCGGUGUGAAAUCUCCUGGCUCAACUGGGAGGGUGCGCCGGAAACUGGAGUGCUUGAGCGUGGGAGAGGAAAGCGGAAUUCCUGGUGUAGCGGUGAAAUGCGUAGAUAUCAGGAGGAACACCUGUGGUGUAGGCGCUUUCUGGACCAUAGCUGACGCUGAGACACGAAAGCGUGGGUAGCAAACAGG